CACAGCAUAUGGAAGUUCCCAGGCCAGGGAUCUAAUCUGAGCUGGAGCUGUGACUACGCCACAGCUGUAGCAACGCCAGACACUUGACCUACUGCACUGGGCAGGGGAUCGAACCAGCACCUCCCAGAGAAAGCUGGAUCAUUAACCCACUGUGCCACAGUGGGAAUUCCUGAUUUUAUAAUUUUUUAAUGUCUUCAAAGUAAAAUCCAAAAAAAAAAAAAAAACCCUCCACUAAGUGCCAUGUUGGAGGACAAAAAAUUUUUACUGCAGCACCUUUAGACAAAAGAUUGCAUCCUGCUUAACCACACUAUCUAAAUUAUGUUUGUGGAAAAUAUGUACAAACAUAAGCAAGUGCUCUAAGAGGUGACAGAUGUCACUCUGGAAGGCAGUUCCUGGAAGAAGCAAAUGACAUCCAGGGUAAGAACUGCCCCCCAGUGGGGUCUCCUACAUGCUACCUUCAUAAGCCCAGAAGGCCGUAAACACCAGGUGAGAACACCUGCAGUGAGGAUGUGACUGCCCCCCCCCCCGCGACCCCACCCCGGGAAGGGCCGUCUGCAGAUUCUCAAUCAAGUAAUAUUCAGGAGUAAUACUGUACCGUCUUUACAUGUACUGAGUAUUUAAUACGCAAAAUGGCAACAAAUUCAUCAUCAGAUCCAGCUGAUAAGAAAAUAACACAUCCAAAGAGGAUCCACUUAAAGAAAUCAUGAAUUCCAGAGACGGAAUUCCCCUUAGUUGUUGAAACCAGUGACAUGUCCAGUGUUUCAUGAGCUCUUCAAAUGGACCAUGUUAGAAACAGAAAACUAACUUCAUCCAAAGCAGAGACGCUGGCCUCUUAGCUGACAGACCGCUAAGCUUUGGUUGUACACAGAGCGGGUGAACGAGGCCCGGCCCGGCCGGCCAGGUACACUGGCGGUCAGGCAAGUUGCUCUGUCGAUGGGCAGGCUCACAGCUCCCAACUCCUUCCCAAGCAGUCGGAGUGUGCUUUGCAAUUCCAAAACAGCGGACGGGGAAGCUCAAGGAGGCAUAGCAAUUCCUAUUUGUGCUACAACACAUUCAAGAUCUGGCUCUGCUUUUUCCUUAAAUACUUUCACAACUUCUGCUGUAUAAAGUUUUCGAGCUUGAUGAUGAUACAGGCCGUGCACUCCAUCACCCUCAUGGCAACCUCGGAAGUGAACCUGUCGUUUGGGAUCUGGGGGAAGGGCAGCAGGUCGGGGUAUCUUGUUUUUAAACCGUCCACACCAUAGGCUUCCAAGGUGUGGACGUCAUUCGUCAGGCCUUCCAGCUGCUGUCCGUACUCCUCGAUUUUCUGCGCCAGUGCGGUUGGCUUCACGUCUUUGUCAGACUUGCCCCUCACGGCGUAGUCGGCGGCGAUCAGAGCCAGCUUGGUAGAGAGGAAGCAUUUAAAGCACACCCACUCGUUCGCAUUUUUGUGAAGGUCAUUCCUGGCAGCAGAGAAAUUCGCUCUGGCUUGUCGUAACCACCUCCGAGCUUCGACCGGGUUACCGACCGACUUGAACGUGGGAGGAACGAAGAACCGCUGAGAGUAAGUCUGUCCGGCUGAAGGUGGGCACUUUUCCUUGUUUUGUUGCUGCCUCUCAGAUUUAUGGCUCGUUGCCUCUUGAUUCCAGGACGUGUAAAACCUCUGAAAGGAGAACUUGUCUGACGGAAACCGCGAUGCCGGGGUUGAAAAUGGGCGCCUUGAGGCUCUGUCUGAAUUUUGAUCCAGAAAAGCCUGUUUCUCUAAUCUGUUGAUUUCAUUCUGCAAAUGCUUGAAAACUUCAUUAGCAAGGUCAUGGUUUUCUGGGUUCUUGUCAGGGUGCCAUUUCAAAUACAACCGCCUGAUAAUCUUUUUCCGUUCAGACUCUGGAAGCUUCCAAGCUUGCUCCACCACGGAUGUCACCUCUUUUAAAAUUUCUGGUAGAGAAUUCGCCUUCAGCUUUUUGGGGGAAUGAUGCUUGGACGAUGGGGUCUUGGGGGUCUCUCUGCCAGAGAAGAGAGGCGGGAUGCUUCGCAGACCCGGGGCCGGGAACUCCGUGGGGCUGGUGGGUGUGGACGGGGCGCUGUCUCUGCUCUGAGAGCUCUCCUCUGGCCUUGAAAACUUAUACAGAUCGAGAGAGCUAACUAUUUUAUAUUCACUGUAGCCGAUGUCAAUCUGAUAGAUCUUUCCUAGAAAACUGGAGUUGUCCGCAUCUUCCCUCUCAACUUCCUGUACAAUGAUGGCGUACGUAUACGUCGGCUGUUUCGAUGGCUCCGAGGAGUCGUAUUUCACCCCCAGACUGUCCAGCUUCUCGCUGAUCCUGUAAAUAUCGUUGCAGCCCAGCAUGGCAAUCAGAUAGGAAGUGUCCGAGAUGAGAUUGUCGGUGGCCGACUUCAGCGUCAUGGCCAAGGCCAAGAGGAAGUUGAUGUCUUUGCUGUCCGAGUGCUGGAUGUAGAGCAGGAUGACCGCGGUCCCAAACCUCUUGAGGAAGGCGAACGUCUCACUCCUGCUGUGGGGGAUGGGGUUGAACCCCUUCACCCGCAACGUGGUCUGAAGCUUCUCAAAGCAGGACACCUUCAGUCCUUCGCGCAGGGCUUUGCAGAGUCGGAUGGCUUUCUCCUCGUUGGCCAGGAAGGCGUUGUCGUUUUCGUGCUUCAUGAUUCGAAUCAGGCCCGUGAUGAACUGCUCCGAAGACAGGAGCAACUGCAGCCUGCCCUGCAGGGAGCACAGGGCUCCAAACUGGCAGACCUUGGGCGUCUCCUCGUCCAGCUGCUCCUCGAGGAUGCUGCUCAGCAGGCGCGGCCGGAGCUUCUGGGGAAAGAGCAUGAUCAGCUUCGUGUGGAACCCGUGGUCCUUCCCCAGGUAGCACUGGCUGAGAUCCACCAGCAUCUGCACGCCGAUGUUCCCCUGGAUCCUGCUCUUGUAGUGCGGGGCGUCGUCAAACACCAGGAUGCUGGACUUCACCAGCCUCCCGUCCUGGCUCGGCAGGUACAGCGCGAGGUCCCGCACGCUCUCGAGGUCGCCCCGCACCUUGACGGAGUCGUUCUGCAGACUCUUGAACAAGCCGGACACUACUCUCUUGACGGUGCGCAUCUCAUUGGGAUCCAGCUGUUUUCCUUCGGAAUUUUUGAAUAUGCGGCUCAGCACCUCGACAUACUGCUUCGUGGAAAUGACGUCCUCAGUCCCCAGGUGUUUGAAGAGCUGAUGAAAGGUGCCGAGCUCCAACGGCAGCUUGUACAGAUACGGUUUGAAGUCGGACUCGUACUCCAGGUUUAUCACCACCUCCUCUGGCUUCAGAAGUUUCCAGCCAUCCUCCACCAUCACGAAAGCAACCCCGCGCAGCUGAAAGCGAAACUCCCUUUUUUCUGCGCUGAGAAAUUCGUAUAUGCUCCGCAAGACCCUUGCUCUGGUUUUGACCAUGUCUUCGUCCAGGGUCGUGAUGUUGCAUAUGUUUCUGCAGUUACUGAUGACCUUAUCCAGAGGCGGGUCCAGGUUCACGCUCAGCAUGCUCAAAACCUGCUCCAGCUGCUCCUGUGGGCCAAGCUCGCUGCCCUCUUGCUCUCUGAUGCUCAAGGGUGUGGCUUUCUCUGGAAGGAUAGGGCAGGACGUCCAUAAGAGCUGGAGCACAUCGCACUGCUUGAAUUUGGGAUUUACCUGGGCUCCGUUGAACUUUAUAAGAGGGAGGGUUCCGUUCACCUCUUGAUACUGAGGGUGAAAUCGAAUAAAUUCAGCAGGGGCCCGCUCGGGACAUAAGAAUGGUAUUAAAGAGAGUUCCUUCAGGAAAUUUCCAGAUAACAAAUCCAUUCGUUCCUGGAAAAUAUGGUGGAGAAGGAUAUCAACUGUGUUUUGCAGCGUUUCUUUGGACCAGUUUUCCGUAUUGGCUCUCACACUGAUUUCCUUAGCAAACUGCAACAACUGCUGCUGAGAAAGUAUGUGUUUUAGUCCAAUAUUUCUCAAGAAUUCUACCCAGGAGGUCAUAAAUGCAGCUUGAUUUUUGGGCUUUAUAAGUUGUUCCAAUUUUUUAAAGAAGUCCUUAGGAAUAAACAAUUUCUCAGGAAGCAUAACCUCAAAAACUCUCACGGUUCUAUCAUAGAAAUGUUUUGCUUGCUUUAGCCGCCCGUUGGCGUCAUGAAUUAUCAGUAAACUUUCCAGCUUUUCAAAAAGUUGUUCCUUGAUUUCUGACAGUUCCUCGCUACUUGAUAACCUAUUCUUAAGAUAGAUGAGAUGCUCUAAUUUUGCAUCGUAGGAGAGAUUUUCAAUUUUUGGUAGGAGGUGUUUCAGAUAAACCUCCAGAUCAUCUACGGGGACACAACCGAGCACCUCGUACAGUUCCUUUAGGUGCAUUUUUUCUUCAAGAAACGCAGACGACGAUAAUUGUGUCCACUUUUCCACUUCGGCCGAAGGGAUGCUUUUCGUGAGCACAUAGCACGUUCCGAAUUUUGCAAUGCUCAUGUAGCGACCACUGAUGGACUUGUAGCAGGGAAGUGACUUUAGAAUUUUUAUGUCGUCUUGGGACAUCAGGUGAUUCAAAUUGCAGUUGAAAUACAUCAAGAGCGCUUCAAAGUCGUUUUCUACUAACUUGUCCGUUCUAAAUGUUGAGGUUUGGACCAUGUAGUGCACAGCCUUCAGAAUACUCGUGGGGCUCUCGAUGUUUGCCGUGUGACGGGACAGCAGAGGAACAAACGCACUGUCUUUGGAGCAGAUCUUGUUCAAGGCAAGCUGGAUACAGCCGGCUUUCAUGAGAGCGUGGAAAACCUUGUCGCUCUGGGCGUUUGGGAAAACGGCGAUGUGCAUGAGACUCAGAGGCAGCAGGACGUCGCCCUCGGGCACCACCAGCUGAUUGGCCGAAACCGUGAACUUGGUUCCGGGGAGCAGCGCCCAGUCUUUCAGGGUGUCAGCGACAGCGUCGAAGUUGGGUUUUGCCUCGUCUUGAUCUUCCUUGACACUGACAGCUUCACUGACAAAAUGCCAGGCAUUCUUAAGCCAAGACUCACUUGCAAAGUUGUCCUUCCACUUUGUACAGGUUUUGGUCUUAUACUCACGAGGCAGCACGGACGAUAACAAGUCAGCGAAGCUGGAAAUGUCAAACACUUUGGCCACGUUGCAGCUCAGCAAGAUGUUACUGUACUUCAGAUACAGCGUGUUCAUGAACAGGUCUUUGCGGGACGGGAUCAGUUCGUGGUACGUGGUCAGAAACUUGGGUCGCCUGGCGUCGAACGUUUGCAGCACGCUGUCCAGGGUGAUGAGGAGGGGCAGGCCCUCCACCUCGAUCUCACGUUCCUCUGCGUCCUUAAAGCAGUAAUCAACCAAAAGUUUCAAACUGUGGAACAGCUUCAGGUUGGUCUGCUGCAGACGACAAGGCAGCUUCCCGAUGUGGCAGCUCGUGUCGGGGGAGGAAAACGUCAUGAGAAAAGCCCGGACGUCGGCGGGGGUGACGUAACUCACAGGAAUGUCGGCGUCCACGAGGCAGUGGUACAGGUUAGCAGUUUCAUCACAGUUGUAAACCAGGUUGAAACCAAUUUCCAAAAGCAGGUGCUUCAGCCUGUAGACGUUCUCCGCCACUGUUUUGCGUGUGGUGAUGUUAUAAUCUGCAUUUUUCAGGUGCUGUAACUCAUCCUGCAGUAAAUUGUCAAAAAAGGGCCUGGUCUUGCUUGAGGUCGACAUGUUAAUCCAGGUGAUUAUAACUGCAGAGUGCAGGUCGGAGCCGUCGAUGUUGGGAGCCCGGACGACAGGUAAGAGGCGCUUCAUGUCUUCGUGAAUGCAGCUGUACAGGGCUUUCACCAGACAGUACAGGUCCGGCUGCAGAUCAAGCCUGUUCACGGGGAAAAACGACAAAAACUUCUUCAGCGUGUCCUUCACCACGUGAAUGGGCGUGUUCUGUAAAACGGACAGUGCUGGGUCGGAACCCGGGAAGUACCGCUUUUUCAACUGGAUCAGCAGUUCCACGUAGGCGGGCGCGAUGAGGGCCGUCAUGAGGCUGUUGUUCCAGUCACUCCGAACGCCGACCCCGUCAUCGUCCCGCCACAGGUUCCUCCUGGCUGAGUCGAGGGCAAAGUGGCCGUUGACGUGGAAGGGGAGCCCCGUCUCCAAAGAGAGGGGCAAAAAGCAGAAGGCCCGGUGGGGCUUCUUGUAGUUGUGCGUGAUGCAGGCAGCCACUCCGCCGCGGGGGAAGAGGGUGAUGUCCUGGUUCCUGUGGGCUGACAGGACGCUCCUGGACACCCUCUCCAGGCUUGAGAAGCCCGACCUGUUGCAGAUGAGCCAGGCCGUGAGGUUUCCCUCCGAGUCCUCGGUGUCCAUGGUGUAGGUGAUCUGCUGAACCGGGAUGUCCUUGAGCUGCCUCUUUUUGGAGACACUGUCCAUCACAGAGGCGUGAAACUGCUUCCUUUUCAGCCUGUCUCCGUCGGUGAUUUUGCCUUUCACGGAGUACAGCACAUUUAGGGCUCCAGUGGCUUUAUCGAUCUCACAGAUAGAAAUUUUUUCCAUGUGAUUCAGAAACAUUAGAAGUUCCGCCCCAUCUGACCGCAGUUUGUCCAGAAGAUUCUGGACCAUUCUGUCUGAGGACGGAACCGAAGAAAUUUCUGAAACUUUCGCCAUCUCCGCGUUACGGAGCGGGAACCUGAACAUGGUGCAGUUGUCCAGUUUAAAGUGGGUCCCCAAGUAAAGGUCCAGGACGUCUGAGAACUGCGUCCUAAAAUCUGCAUCCAGAUCCCUAAACAUGCGUCCGGGACUAACGGACGUGGCCCCCGGGGCGUACCUGGCGUGGGGAUCGAAGAUACACAGGAUGUCAUUGCCGGAAAUAAAGGACGGGCAGUCCGUGAUGUGGUACACAGAAUUGAAUCCUAUUCCGUACUGGCCCGUUUUACAGGGGUUUCCCUCUUUGGUGCCUUUGCCAAGAUUCUGAAUUCCUCGGACAUCGUCUUCCGUAAAGGGUUGGUUGUUAUACACGCACAGCGCUGGGCCCUGCAAGGGA
rnacentral:lncRNA from 1 species